UACGGAGGGUGCGAGCGUUGUCCGGAAUCAUUGGGCGUAAAGGGCGCGUAGGUGGCGCCGCAAGUCCAUGGUGAAAGCUCGAUGCUCAACAUCGAGUCGGCCACGGAGACUGCGGGGCUCGAGCACUGUAGGGGCAGAUGGAAUUCCGGGUGUAGCGGUGGAAUGCGUAGAGAUCCGGAAGAACACCGGUGGCGAAGGCGGUCUGCUGGGCAGUCGCUGACACUGAGGCGAGACAGCGUGGGGAGCAAACAGG
rnacentral:rRNA from 1 species